GACGAACCGUGCAAACGUUGUCCGGAUUUAUUGGGCGUAAAGAGCGUGUAGGCGGCCAGGUAGGUCCGUUGUGAAAACUCGAGGCUCAACCUCGAGACGUCGGCGGAAACCAUCUGGCUAGAGUCCGGAAGAGGAGAGUGGAAUUCCUGGUGUAGCGGUGAAAUGCGCAGAUAUCAGGAAGAACACCCGUGGCGAAGGCGGCUCUCUGGGACGGUACUGACGCUGAGACGCGAAAGCGUGGGGAGCAAACAGG
rnacentral:rRNA from 1 species